CCUUUAUUUUCAGCAUUUUAGGUUUAAAGACUGUGAUGAUGAAUUAAUCAGUGCUGGAACGAAAAUGGAUGAUAAUGAAGAAGUUAGUUCAGCAUCGACAUCAUCAAAUAUGAAGAGAUGCGGCGAAGAAGAAACUACUUCCUUUCCAGAGCUUCUAAACUUCACUUGUACAGUUGAAACCCUCAUUUCACAAUUCUUACUCUUAUCUACUCGCAUUCCUCCUCAUUUCCUCGAUGCUCGAUAUGAUCCGAUACUGUUUGAUCUCAGGUACUUUGAUUCACCUAGUGAAUUUGAAGCAAAAAUUGAUGGGAAUAAGAAAUUGGAAGAACUCGAAGACGAGCUUCGAGAAUCUUGUUCCGAGUACAUGCAAAGAUUCUUUCUAUUGGUGAAUGGAAUUGUAGUUUACCAUCAACAACUCUUUGAAUACUUACAAGAAGGUAAUGAUACUUUACUAAAUGUUGCAUUGGAGGAUGAGUUAGGACGACAGUUGAUUACAGAAUCAUUAGCAUUGUUUGGAUGUUUGUUAUUACUUAUGGAACAUCAUAUGAGUGGAUAUUUAAGAGAGAAAUUGCUUGUUGCUUAUCUGCGCCAUAAACGUUCUUUCAGUGUUGGUAAUUUAGAAGUCAUUUGUUCACUUUGUCGUGUUCAUACGGUGACUGCAUUUCGUCCAGUUGAAUCUUCUGUGAUGGUGUCAGUUCAGAAGCCUGAAGAGUUUUUUAUCAGAUUUGCUUUUCCGAAACAAGUUGUGGGUCGUGUUAUUAGUUGCUUAAAGUACUGUGAUUUGUACAACCGUGUAAGGUACUACCCUGAUAGCGAACACCGCUCUGUGGCAUUGGCAUCUCAGGCUGGAUAUAUGUAUGUUAUGUUGUUUUAUUCGGUAGAGACGCUUCAUGAUGGGGUUGCAAUGCGAGAAAUUGUAGAUCGAUUCUUUAAAGAUUCACUGGUAGUUCCAAUAUUUAUGCAUUUUACUGUGGAUUUGUCAUUGUCUUGGGAUGUGUAUGAAGGAGCAAAAUCAUCACUUUCAUCGUUUCUUCUGCCGUCGUAUAUUGGGGAUCAGAGCCAGCUUCAUUAUGUGAAGGUUAAAGACCUCAUGUCCGAGCUAUGUUCAGUUCACUUAAGUGGUAUGAAAAGCUCAGAUGCCUUGUUAAGUGACUCCCAGUUGCUUUUCUCUUUGCUUAGAAACUGCAACGUUUCCCUGAGGUGGCUUUUGCUCCAUAGAUCUUCGGCUGACAAGAAAACAAAGGAGAUAGCAGUGUCUGCUGGAACUUCUCAUCAGAUCGAGGAAGACGCUCUUUUAUCAUUUCUACUGAAGACGUCCCAAGUUGAAUUUGAGUUAAAACAACUGUAUACCGAGCUUAUUGAGAGCAGAAGAACUCUGUGGGAAGAGAACAAAGGACGCACUUCCGAUUCUAUCCGACAGUUAUCUGAGUAUCUCUUUGGAACUCAAACUUUGUCGCGAAAGAUAGAAGAUGGAAAGUUGAUGGAUGUGUUUAAGAAUCUCUCAAAACAAGUUUAUUCAUUGGACUAUAAGGACAUUGUUAAUUCUGGCAAGAAAUUGUAUCACAUGAUAUCUUCUGUAAGAGAAAUCGAACAACUUGACGAGCUUAAAGAAUGUUUGCAAAUCAAGGAGCGGAUAUCUGUCGUACAGAAGUACUUGCAGAAUAUGCUCCAAGCUCUCAAUUUACAAGAUGAAACAGUCACGACCUUAUCCGUGAUUACAGAUGCUGUCUACUUGUGGGGGUUUCUGGACAAAUUUACUCGUAGAUUGCACAAGAAAAUCAAACAAGAUUCAUCCUUGGUUCUCAAUUUGCGUUGUUUAUUUCUCAAAUUUCGACCAAUGGUGGAUGCACCCAUUAUCCGACUUUCACAAAACCAAAGUCCUGACCUUCCAUUUGUCUCUGCUUACUACUCCUCUGAGUAUGUGGCGCAUAUAACUGCUAUAUUAGAGAUCAUACCGGUAAUGCUGUUUACAAUACUUAGUGAUGAUGUAGUUUCUACGCUACGUCCGAACUGCCUAGAAAGACGAAUAGGAACAGAUAAUGUUCAGAAUUUUCAAAAGCCAGGUUCGCAGUAUCAUUUAACAAAGGCACUUGCUCAAAUAUCCAUAAUCUCUCAGGGAAUAAAAAGAAUCUCUGGAGCUCCCUUUGGGCUCAUGGACCUGAGUGUGAAAAACUGGAUAGAGGACAAACUCCGGAAGGAGCUUUUCAAAAGAUUUAAGGAGGCGUCAAAGUCCUUCCUUGUGUAUCGUAAUGGUGGACUGGAAGAAUUGGAAAAGAACUUGCAGAAAUUAACAACAUAUUUUCUUUCACAAUUGCAUGUCAUGGAGUGCCUUCAGGAUCUAAUGGAUAUACAAGGAACUCGUCUUUGGGAGGAAGAGUUUUCCUGCUUUUUGAAGCACUCUGCUCAGAAAGAAUAUGAUGAUUUUGUAAGUCGACGAGAGAAAAAUUCAGCUGUCAUUGUGCCUGUAGAAAUGAACGAGUUCUCAAAUGCACAGACAUUUUUAGGCGAUCUACUGAGCCAAAUCCUGAAGCUAACAAAGCCUUCUCUAUCGAUGUAUAUAGAGCCUAUGAGUGGUUGGUUUGAUGCAGAAGGAUGUGAAUUACUGGGCUUGCGUUUCUUUGAGCUAUUGGAAUCAUGGACUUCUUUUUAUGGUCGAGGAGAUUUCCCUUCUUGGUCUUCUCUAGUUUGUGGACCUGUUGGAAUGGCCAGCUUGGAUUCUUUAUUAGUUAAAAUUAUCACGGAGAACUUGAAGCUUGCAUUCAAGGGUUUGAAAAUUCUGAUGGAUGCAAGAUGCUUGGAACAGAUAGAAAUGUUGAAUACUGCUUUAGGUCCUCCAUCAUCUCUACCUUUAUUGAGAUGGUCUUCUUAUCAGUUAAUGGCUAAGUUGCCGGGCAUGUCAUGGGAGCCAUGGGUUGAAUCUUUGGCUUGUAUUGGCCAACUGCAAAUACUGCGAUGUCUGAUCAACUUAAAGCUUAACUCUGCAUGUAAGGUUAAAGCACGGGCUGUGUGUCCAGCUCUUGAUGGUAUAUUUACUGUAGUUUCCUCUCAAAGGGACAAGAUGUUGAUGGGCAAUGACAAGGAGAAUUGUGCAACAACAGAACAUUUUCUUCACGAGUUGAGCAAGCAGGGAGCCCUUUGUGGCUUUUGCGUCCCUCUUCGGACAACGUACCUUAUCGAAGACCCCCCUCAUUUUCUGGGUAGAUGUGCGUCCAUGGUAACAAUCUCACAGUUGCCGCGGUACGUGCUGAAUACUCACUUGGGUACUCUAACAAGUCAUUUGAAGACGGUCUCACUCGAUUUUUCUCCUGUAGUCAUCGGUCUCGGAACGUUCCUCAGGCAGUUUCAUCCCUCCUAUCUGAUGGAGUAUGUUCAGUACAUGGGUCAAUAUGUGCGGAUAACCACGGAAACAUGUGGGGAGAAUCAUGAACAUCUGAAAGGAGCUCCUGACCCGACAUCAGAGGCCUUGAAAUCAAUAUUAUGGAUGAUGUUUUUCUGUAAGCAUAUGGAGAUACCCAAGGACGUGGUAGAUUCAUGUAUACCUCCAUCGCUGAUUGCCGUUCUUCAAGUUUAAGCAUACCUUAGCCAAUUUGACGUAUGCUUGGAGUAAUCGCCAGUGACGUAAAAACUUCCACCACAGAUUCGAAAAAGAUCAAGAACUAGCAAAAGACUGGGUGAUGUGCAAUUUAGUCUGUGCUGCAUCAAGGACGAGCAGAAGACUGAGGCUGUUUUGGUUAGCUAGAUGGUUUAAAUGAAUAUAUGAAUACACCCUUGAUCAAUUUUGGAUAAUGGUUCAGUUGCUUGCUGUUUGUACUUUGUUUGGUUUUCUUCGCGGUGUUGUUUUGAUUUUUCUUCCAAAGUUUACUCGAUUAGGUUAACAAUCUUCAGGUUUUUUUGAUAGUUUGACAAGUGGUGCUACUUCAGAAUUUCCUGCUACUAUCAUGCAGUUAGUAUUUCGAAUUAAGAAUUCGGUGUUGACAA